UACGUAGGGGGCAAGCGUUGUCCGGAUUUACUGGGCGUAAAGAGCGUGUAGGCGGCCAAGCAGGUCCGUUGUGAAAACUGGAGGCUUAACCUCCAGACGUCGACGGAAACCGCGUGGCUAGAGUCCGGAAGAGGAGAGUGGAAUUCCUGGUGUAGCGGUGAAAUGCGUAGAUAUCGUAAGGAAGACCAGUGGCGAAGGCGGGUCUCUGGACAGUUCCUGACGCUGAGGCACGAAGGUCAGGGGAGCAAACGGG
rnacentral:rRNA from 1 species